AUGAUUGCUGACCAGCUCUGCCUCCAGCCACAUCCUUCCAGCCUACCUCAAGGCUGAGAACCUUUGCUUUGUGAGAAAAUGUCAAAAUCCAGGCAGCCUUGAGAAUCCUGGAGGGGGAGAGGAUCAGGCUUGAUGGCAAAUUUUCCCAGGCAGAAGGAAGACCUUCCUAUCUGAGCUCCAGAUCUGGGAAAUGGCCAUUCAGUAACACAGAGCCUGAGGCUCUUUCCAUCAAUACAUAUUGAUCACUUAACAAAGCCAGUCUUUGAGCUAUGAAAGGCCUUUGAUUAAAAUUUCACUUGGCAGCCUCUUGGAUUAGACAUCUUCAUGAACACUGGAGCCCCACAAUAUGAAAAAGGAAAGGAAAUGAGGAGGCACUAACCUAAAGUAAAACUCCAUACCACAUAGGGAGAUAGCUGAUAUUACCAAUAAAUGCUACUGUGGAUGAGUCAGCUGCAGAGGAGGGGAGCACUGUUCAAGUAACUGUCUGUAGAAAGAAAGGAAAACUCUUUUGAGAUUCACCAAAAAGGAAGAAGGCAGCACUUUAUUUAGCUGUAAAGCAGCAGUUGUGAUCAGAGGUGACAAAAGAAGAUUGGUUUUCUUAAUGCAAGUGAUCCAUUCUGGCACUUGGAGGCUGCUAAGAAUAUCUAGAAAAUAACCCCUCUGUCCCCUCUGAGAAUAUUGCUGUCUGAUGCAACAUUGCAGGCUCCAGGAUGGGAAGAUGAGAACCACUGCACCCUUAACCCUCUUCUACCAAAGCAUGUGAUAGCUGUCAGUGUAUAACUGAAGUAGUGGGGACCUGCCAACUGUGGUGUUCACUGACUGACAUCUGAUUUUCUACUGUG